AGACCCGAAACCCGGUGAUCUAGCCAUGGGCAGGUUGAAGGUUGGGUAACACUAACUGGAGGACCGAACCGACUAAUGUUGAAAAAUUAGCGGAUGACCUGUGGCUGGGGGUGAAAGGCCAAUCAAACCGGGAGAUAGCUGGUUCUCCCCGAAAGCUAUUUAGGUAGCGCCUCGUGAACUCAUCUCCGGGGGUAGAGCACUGUUUCGGCUAGGGGGCCAUCCCGGCUUACCAACCCGAUGCAAACUGCGAAUACCGGAGAAUGUUAUCACGGGAGACACACGGCGGGUGCUAACGUCCGUCGUGAAGAGGGAAACAACCCAGACCGCCAGCUAAGGUCCCAAAGUCAUGGUUAAGUGGGAAACGAUGUGGGAAGGCCCAGACAGCCAGGAUGUUGGCUUAGAAGCAGCCAUCAUUUAAAGAAAGCGUAAUAGCUCACUGGUCGAGUCGGCCUGCGCGGAAGAUGUAACGGGGCUAAACCAUGCACCGAAGCUGCGGCAGCGACACUUUAGUGUUGUUGGGUAGGGGAGCGUUCUGUAAGCCGUUGAAGGUGUCCUGUGAGGGGUGCUGGAGGUAUCAGAAGUGCGAAUGCUGACAUAAGUAACGAUAAAGCGGGUGAAAAGCCCGCUCGCCGGAAGACCAAGGGUUCCUGUCCAACGUUAAUCGGGGCAGGGUGAGUCGACCCCUAAGGCGAGGCCGAAAGGCGUAGUCGAUGGGAAACGGGUUAAUAUUCCCGUACUUGGUGUUACUGCGAAGGGGGGACGGAGAAGGCUAUGUUGGCCGGGCGACGGUU
rnacentral:rRNA from 1 species